UACGUAGGGUGCAAGCGUUGUCCGGAAUUAUUGGGCGUAAAGAGCUCGUAGGCGGCUUGUCACGUCGGGUGUGAAAGCCCGGGGCUUAACCCCGGGUCUGCAUUCGAUACGGGCUAGCUAGAGUGUGGUAGGGGAGAUCGGAAUUCCUGGUGUAGCGGUGAAAUGCGCAGAUAUCAGGAGGAACACCGGUGGCGAAGGCGGCAUCCUGGACCAAUACUGACGCUGAGGAGCGAAAGCCAGGGGAGCAAACGGG
rnacentral:rRNA from 1 species